rnacentral:rRNA from 1 species
UUAUCGGAGAGUUUGAUCCUGGCUCAGGACGAACGCUGGCGGCGUGCCUAAUACAUGCAAGUCGAGCGGACAGAUGGGAGCUUGCUCCCUGAUGUUAGCGGCGGACGGGUGAGUAACACGUGGGUAACCUGCCUGUAAGACUGGGAUAACUCCGGGAAACCGGGGCUAAUACCGGAUGGUUGUCUGAACCGCAUGGUUCAGACAUAAAAGGUGGCUUCGGCUACCACUUACAGAUGGACCCGCGGCGCAUUAGCUAGUUGGUGAGGUAACGGCUCACCAAGGCGACGAUGCGUAGCCGACCUGAGAGGGUGAUCGGCCACACUGGGACUGAGACACGGCCCAGACUCCUACGGGAGGCAGCAGUAGGGAAUCUUCCGCAAUGGACGAAAGUCUGACGGAGCAACGCCGCGUGAGUGAUGAAGGUUUUCGGAUCGUAAAGCUCUGUUGUUAGGGAAGAACAAGUGCCGUUCAAAUAGGGCGGCACCUUGACGGUACCUAACCAGAAAGCCACGGCUAACUACGUGCCAGCAGCCGCGGUAAUACGUAGGUGGCAAGCGUUGUCCGGAAUUAUUGGGCGUAAAGGGCUCGCAGGCGGUUUCUUAAGUCUGAUGUGAAAGCCCCCGGCUCAACCGGGGAGGGUCAUUGGAAACUGGGGAACUUGAGUGCAGAAGAGGAGAGUGGAAUUCCACGUGUAGCGGUGAAAUGCGUAGAGAUGUGGAGGAACACCAGUGGCGAAGGCGACUCUCUGGUCUGUAACUGACGCUGAGGAGCGAAAGCGUGGGGAGCGAACAGGAUUAGAU